rnacentral:rRNA from 1 species
CCCUUAGAUGUUCUGGGCCGCACGCGCGCUACAAUGGUCUUCGCAAACGGAUGCAUUCUCGAAGGAGAAUGCCAAUCUUGGAAUCUAUGCCUUGGUCGGGACAGUUGCUUGCAAUUUUUCGACUCGAACCAGGAAUUCCUUGUAAUCGUGAUUCAUCACAUCACGAUGAAUACGUCCCUGCCCUUUGUACACAUCGCCCGUCGCUCCUACCGAUCGAAGAGUUAGGUGAAUUGUUUUGAUCGAUAAGAUUUGACUAUGGUCAACUCUCGUUGUGAAAUUCUGUGAAUCUGACUGUUUAGAGGAAGGAAAAGUCGUAACA